CGUUUAGGGGUAAACCUGAGAAACCCGAAAGUUCGAAGGGAGAAAUUCAUUCGCGUUUCGUGACAGGCGUCGGGCGGUCGAGCGAGACGGAAAGCGUUUCGGCGCGUUUCCGCUCCUUCCGUUCGUGCGAACCGGUCGCGAACGCGUGCACUUUUCUCCUGGUAGGACGUCGCGAUCCGUUGAGCGUCGGUCUACGGUCCGCGGUGGAGCCCGUUACGUCUCGAUUUAUUUCGUGCGUUGCGGACCCGCGGAAUCCCGGCCGACUCGCUCGACGGUACACGAACGGUUCGGGCCCGCUCUUCGGAGCGUCCGACCGGCGACAAGUGCGUCGGUUGUUUGUCGACGAUCGGACCUAGCGCCGAUCGCGACCUCCGAUGGCUGUUGGUCGUCGAGUUCUCGGACAGAGCUCGUUUUUCUUCGGAAAAUAACCGAUCGGCGACGAUAUAGCUUUGGGUACUUUCAGGACCCGUCUUGAAACACGGACCAAGGAGUCUAGCAUGUGCGCGAGUCAUUGGGGAUUGCUAAACCUAAAGGCGCAAUGAAAGUGAAAAGAUCUUCCUCGCGGAGAUUUAUGGGAGGACGAGGGGUCCGCCCUUAAAAGCGGCCUUUCUGCACUCCCGGGGCGUCUCGUUCUCAUUGCGAGAAGAGGCGCACCACGAGCGUACACGCUGGGACCCGAAAGAUGGUGAACUAU
rnacentral:rRNA from 1 species